UCCCCGAUUGAUUCUGUCGGCGGUUAUAUGCUUGUCUCAAAGGCUAAGCCAUGCAUGUCUAAGUUCAAAUAAACCUAUAAUGGUGAAACCGCGAACGGCUCAUUAUAACAGCUAUAAUGUACUUGAUGUUGAUUAUCCAACGUGGAUAACUGUGGCAAUUCUAGAGCUAAUACAUGCACCAAAGCUCCGAAUUUUAAACGAGCGCAUCUAUUAGAUUAAAACCAAUCGGAUUAUUAAUUUUAAUCCGUUAAUUGGUGACUCUGAAUAGCUAUGGCUGAUCGCAUGGUCUUGUACCGGCGACGUAUCUAUCAAGUGUCUGCCUUAUCAACUUUCGAUGGUAGUUUAUG
rnacentral:ncRNA from 1 species